rnacentral:RNase_P_RNA from 1 species
GUAAGAGCACACCAGCAGACCGGGUGACCGGUCUGGCUCGGUAAACCCCACCGGGUGCAAGACCAAGCAGGAAGCAGUUCUGGUUCGCCAGAACACGGAUCGGCCCGAUCCGUUAUGACUUCCGGGUCGGUCGCGUGAGGCAGCAGGCAACUGCUGUCCCAGAUAAAUGGCCACUCUCGACAUAACCCGGCUUACAGGCUUGCUCCCGCU